GGAGAGAGAAAACUAAGGAUUCAAUUAUCUCUGGAAUAUGGUAAAUAAGAUCCUAUAUAUAUAUAUAUGGAGCCUAUAAUCAUUAGUUGAAAAUAUGUGAUUUUAAAAUUUUUAAAUUAAUAGGAAGCACAAGAGAUCACUGCCUGGAAGUUGUUAUUAGCUGUUAAUAGAAUAACUACCCAAUAGAGAUGUUCACCACUGAAAGGAAAGUAGUGCAAUUUAAUUCAGCAGAAUAAGAUGGACAAAUUAAAAACCAAAGGAAAAAAAAGUAAAAUUGAAAAUGAUAUAAACUCAAUCCUAAAUCAUAGAUGGGAGAUGGGGCCCACUUGAGAAGGAAGAACAUGUCUUCGUGUUUGGGAGUGAGGGUGGAGAAGAGGUCCAGAGUUUGGCUAAGAAGAUGUCCAGUUUAAAGGUGACCCUGAGCCAACCAGGUCAAGGCAUUCGGGAGGCAGGUGGAUCUCAGGAUGGGAAGUCAGGGCUGGAGCUAGAAGCUGGAGCCAUUGGUGAUGGUUUCCCCAUUAAUCUGUGGAGAAGAGUGAGUUGGAAAGGAGAGGAACAUGAAGGUGCUCUAAGGAGCUCCAACGUUGAGCAGUUGUGCUGAAGCUGAGAAGCUGACUUCUAACUAAGGACAGCUUGGGGAGUAGGAGGAAAACUAGAGGAGAAGGUGCAUGUUUGGAGAUGGCAUGUUGAAUACUCCCAAGACAUCAUGCAAGUCAAGGGAUGAAAAAUAACCACUGCAUUUGACCACACAGGUCUCUGAAGGAAACUUAGCAAGAGCAGUCUUGAUUGUGUCAUGGAGGAGGAAGCCAGACCAGAAUGGCUAAGGGGCUCACAGGAAGCAGCAAGCCGUGGAACUCUUGAGAAGUUUGUCUCGGCAGGACACCUACUUUCUCUGCUGUUCAGCUCGCAGAUGAGCUAACAUCUCCUGUUCCCCAGUCCAUGUUUCUGGGAGAGAGAAUCCGAUUGGCCAGGAGACUGCCUCAUGUGAAGCCAAGAGAGGGGAGGCUGCCAAGGAGGAUGGACGUUCAGGACUGCCUGUCAGCCCUGAUCUUAGAUGCAUGUGUGGCAACCUCGGUCCUUCCUGUGGUAUCUCCAUGAUUCACAGGGAGAGGAGCCAGGUGUCCCCAGGUGACAAACCAAUGAAAAGAAGGCAUAAUGACAACUUGAUUCCCUGAAGAACACCCCCAUCUUUAUCACCUUAAAAUGAAGGAUACUACAGUAAGUCCAUCUCCUUAAAUGUAUAGCUGAUCCAACAAGCCAGUGAUUAAGAUAUUCAGAGGCCAAAAAUGAUGAGAAAGCAUGGAUCCAAAGAAGUCACUGGGUACUGAAGUCUCAAUUGCAUCCGAAAUCUCAGAGUCUAGAUUUUUUGAUUUCCACAGGUUGUAUACCCAGAAAAGGGGGGCAAGGCCCAGGAACAACUCAAGUCAAGGAAUUUUGGUUGGAGAUAUCCACCUAUAUCCAGGACCCUGACAGUUUCCUUUCUCAUGAAAAGGCUAUGGGGCAGUCAGGGGGAGGUGGGCAGAACCUGUGACUCCACAUAGAAAGAAAAUAACUAAAUAUGUAUAUUUCAGCCUUGGCACUGAGCUUGCAAAGAAAUAAAUCUUCUUUGAGAAUUCCUAGUUGUAAGGUAAACCUCAUUCAAAAUUAGGUUGAAAUUCACAUGACACGUGCUCAGCAAAAUCCACGGCUGAGAAAUAAUUGUAAAGUAAUCCCAGAUUUAUAGCAUCCCGCGUACAUGGCAGAUUGAAAUACAAAUCCUGUAUAGAGAAAGUUACUUCCAAUAGAGGCUCAAAAAUUUCCCUGAGAUAAAGGUCACGAGCACGCAUACCCCCAACACAUACAAACAAACUACAAAACA